UCUGAAACCGGAGCUAAUACCGGAUAAUAUUUCGAACCGCAUGGUUCGAUAGUGAAAGAUGGUUUUGCUAUCACUUAUAGAUGGACCCGCGCCGUAUUAGCUAGUUGGUAAGGUAACGGCUUACCAAGGCGACGAUACGUAGCCGACCUGAGAGGGUGAUCGGCCACACUGGAACUGAGACACGGUCCAGACUCCUACGGGAGGCAGCAGUC
rnacentral:rRNA from 1 species